AGUAACACGUGGGUAACCUACCUAUAAGACUGGAAUAACUCCGGGAAACCGGGGCUAAUGCCGGAUAACAUUUAGAACCGCAUGGUUCUAAAGUGAAAGAUGGUUUUGCUAUCACUUAUAGAUGGACCCGCGCCGUAUUAGCUAGUUGGUAAGGUAAUGGCUUACCAAGGCAACGAUACGUAGCCGACCUGAGAGGGUGAUCGGCCACACUGGAACUGAGACACGGUCCAGACUCCUACGGGAGGCAGCAGUAGGGAAUCUUCCGCAAUGGGCGAAAGCCUGACGGAGCAACGCCGCGUGAGUGAUGAAGGGUUUCGGCUCGUAAAACUCUGUUAUUAGGGAAGAACAAACGUGUAAGUAACUGUGCACGUCUUGACGGUACCUAAUCAGAAAGCCACGGCUAACUACGUGCCAGCAGCCGCGGUAAUACGUAGGUGGCAAGCGUUAUCCGGAAUUAUUGGGCGUAAAGCGCGCGUAGGCGGUUUCUUAAGUCUGAUGUGAAAGCCCACGGCUCAACCGUGGAGGGUCAUUGGAAACUGGGAGACUUGAGUGCAGAAGAGGAAAGUGGAAUUCCAUGUGUAGCGGUGAAAUGCGCAGAGAUAUGGAGGAACACCAGUGGCGAAGGCGACUUUCUGGUCUGUAACUGACGCUGAUGUGCGAAAGCGUGGGGAUCAAACAGGAUUAGAUACCCUGGUAGUCCACGCCGUAACGAUGAGUGCUAAGUGUUAGGGGGUUUCCGCCCCUUAGUGCUGCAGCUAACGCAUUAA
rnacentral:rRNA from 1 species